UACAUACACAUAUCAGACCGACCCGACCCCACUUCACCUCUUCUUCUCUCCUACGCGAGAACCAAAAGUCAAGAGCUGCAAACCCAGAAAUCGCGGACAGCAGCCAAAAUCGCGAGCAGUACCAAACCCAUACGUCACCCAUCUGCAAACCCAUAACCCUAGCAACCUAAUCGAUCACUUCGUCGUCCCCUUUCCCCCCUUUUCACGGGAAUUCAGCUUUUUCCCAUCCCCUUUACUGUGGCUUCGAAAAUACCAGAAGAAAUUCAAUUUUUUGUUUGAAUUCUUAAUGGAUUUUCCCCCAAAAUGAUUUUUUCUUCUUCUAUAUAUUCUCUCUUUCAAUCACUGUUUAGCAGGGGAUUUUUUGGAUAAAAAAGGGAGGAUUUUUUCAGACACUAAUUGACCGCCCUAAAACAGAGCGAAUAUCAUCAAAAGAAAAAGUUGUUUUACUUUUGGGAGCUCAUCGAAAUCGGCUCACAGUGGUGGAAGUUCUUCGUGGUCAAGUUCGAGUCCCGGCCUCGCUGCCCCGGAAAAGUUGUUCACUUUGUGUAUGUCCGAGUGAGUCCUAUGUACUCAUGUCUACACCUCGCAUUUCAAAUGGGUCUUGGAGGCCUAAAACUCCCUCUUAUCAAGUCAACCUCAUCAUUGGGAGCAUAUGGAAUUCGGAGAGGAAAUAUAUGUUAUAAAAGAAGCUGAAACAGGUCUUGAAAAGUAGAAAAAGGGGUUGUAUACAAGAUGUAUACAGCUGUAUACACUUAUAUACAGGUCAAAAACGCAAAAAAAAUAGGGCGGAGGCAAAACACAGGUGUUCGGAAGCAAGAAAUACAUGAAAGGGGCC